UUAAGUGACUAAGCGUACAAGGUGGAUGCCUUGGCAAUCAGAGGCGACGAAGGACGUGCUAAUCUGCGAAAAGCUUGGAUGAGUCGAUAAGAGGCGUUUAAUCCAAGAUGUCCGAAUGGGGAAACCCAGUAGAUGAAGAAUCUACUAUCACUUACUGAAUCCAUAGGUAAGUGAGGCAAACCGGGAGAACUGAAACAUCUAAGUACCCCGAGGAAAAGAAAUCAACCGAGAUUUCGUUAGUAGCGGCGAGCGAACGCGAAGGAGCCUGUUAGUGAUAAUGACAGAGACAGAGGAACAAGCUGGGAAGCUUGGCGAUACAGGGUGAUAGCCCCGUACUCGAAGUCCAGGUCAUGGUACUAAGCUAACGAUAAGUAGGGCGGGACACGUGAUAUCCUGUUUGAAGAUGGGGGGACCAUCCUCCAAGGCUAAAUACUCCUGAUUGACCGAUAGUGAACCAGUACUGUGAAGGAAAGGCGAAAAGAACCCCGGUGAGGGGAGUGAAAUAGAACCUGAAACCUUGUACGUACAAGCAGUGGGAGCCCUUUAAGGGUGACUGCGUACCUUUUGUAUAAUGGGUCAGCGACUUAUAUUUUGUAGCGAGGUUAACCGAAUAGGGGAGCCGAAGGGAAACCGAGUCUUAACUGGGCGUCUAGUUGCAAGGUAUAGACCCGAAACCCGGUGAUCUAGCCAUGGGCAGGUUGAAGGUUGGGUAACACUAACUGGAGGACCGAACCGACUAAUGUUGAAAAAUUAGCGGAUGACUUGUGGCUGGGGGUGAAAGGCCAAUCAAACCGGGAGAUAGCUGGUUCUCCCCGAAAUCUAUUUAGGUAGAGCCUUGAGUGGACACCUUCGGGGGUAGAGCACUGUUUCGGCUAGGGGUCCAUCCCGGAUUACCAACCCGAUGCAAACUACGAAUACCGAAGAGUGAUACUCAGGAGACACACGGCGGGUGCUAACGUCCGUCGUGGAGAGGGAAACAACCCAGACCGCCAGCUAAGGUCCCAAAGUCUAUAUUAAGUGGGAAACGAAGUGGGAAGGCUUAGACAGCUAGGAUGUUGGCUUAGAAGCAGCCAUCAUUUAAAGAAAGCGUAAUAGCUCACUAGUCGAGUCGGCCUGCGCGGAAGAUGUAACGGGGCUCAAAUAUAGCACCGAAGCUGCGGCAUCAGACGAAAGUCUGUUGGGUAGGGGAGCGUUCUGUAAGCGGAUGAAGGUGGUUCGAGAGGGCUGCUGGACGUAUCAGAAGUGCGAAUGCUGACAUAAGUAACGAUAAAACGGGUGAAAAACCCGUUCGCCGGAAGACCAAGGGUUCCUGUCCAACGUUAAUCGGGGCAGGGUGAGUCGGCCCCUAAGGCGAGGCUGAAAAGCGUAGUCGAUGGGAAACGGGUUAAUAUUCCCGUACUUGGAUAAACUGCGAUGUGGGGACGGAGCAGGUUAGGUUAUCGCACUGUUGGAUAUGUGCGUUUAAGUUUGUAGGUGUGAAGUUUAGGCAAAUCCGGACUUCUUUAACACUGAGAGAUGAUGACGAGGCUCUACGGAGCUGAAGUAACCGAUACCACACUUCCAGGAAAAGCCACUAAGCUUCAGGUUUAUCUAAACCGUACUGAAAACCGACACAGGUGGUCAGGUAGAGAAUACUCAGGCGCUUGAGAGAACUCGGGUGAAGGAACUAGGCAAAAUAGCACCGUAACUUCGGGAGAAGGUGCGCCGGCGUAGAUUGUAGUCCCUUGCGGGCGAAGGUUGAACCGGUCGAAGAUACCAGCUGGCUGCAACUGUUUAUUAAAAACACAGCACUCUGCAAACACGAAAGUGGACGUAUAGGGUGUGAUGCCUGCCCGGUGCUGGAAGGUUAAUUGAUGGUGUAAUCGAAAGAGAAGCUCCUGAUCGAAGCCCCAGUAAACGGCGGCCGUAACUAUAACGGUCCUAAGGUAGCGAAAUUCCUUGUCGGGUAAGUUCCGACCUGCACGAAUGGCAUAAUGAUGGCCAGGCUGUCUCCACCCGAGACUCAGUGAAAUUGAAAUCGCCGUGAAGAUGCGGUGUACCCGCGGCUAGACGGAAAGACCCCGUGAACCUUUACUAUAGCUUGACACUGAACAUUGAAUUUUGAUGUGUAGGAUAGGUGGGAGACUUAGAAGUAGUCACGCCAGUGAUUAUGGAGUCGUCCUUGAAAUACCACCCUUUAACGUUUGAUGUUCUAACGAAGAUUGCGGAACGCGGUCUCGGACAGUGUCUGGUGGGUAGUUUGACUGGGGCGGUCUCCUCCCAAAGAGUAACGGAGGAGCACGAAGGUUUGC
rnacentral:rRNA from 1 species